rnacentral:pre_miRNA from 1 species
AGCUUUCUGUAUUCGUUCUGGGAUUUCGCCACACACUAAACCACAAGGGCUGAUGAGACACCCAAAAUAAGUGAAGCG